rnacentral:rRNA from 1 species
CCUGGCUCAGAACGAACGCUGGCGGCAGGCUUAACACAUGCAAGUCGAACGCCCCGCAAGGGGAGUGGCAGACGGGUGAGUAACGCGUGGGAACAUACCCUUUCCUGCGGAAUAGCUCCGGGAAACUGGAAUUAAUACCGCAUACGCCCUACGGGGGAAAGAUUUAUCGGGGAAGGAUUGGCCCGCGUUGGAUUAGCUAGUUGGUGGGGUAAAGGCCUACCAAGGCGACGAUCCAUAGCUGGUCUGAGAGGAUGAUCAGCCACAUUGGGACUGAGACACGGCCCAAACUCCUACGGGAGGCAGCAGUGGGGAAUAUUGGACAAUGGGCGCAAGCCUGAUCCAGCCAUGCCGCGUGAGUG